rnacentral:rRNA from 1 species
AGUGAACGCUGGCGGUAGGCCUAACACAUGCAAGUCGAACGGCAGCACAGUAAGAGCUUGCUCUUACGGGUGGCGAGUGGCGGACGGGUGAGGAAUACAUCGGAAUCUACUUUUUCGUGGGGGAUAACGUAGGGAAACUUACGCUAAUACCGCAUACGACCUACGGGUGAAAGCAGGGGAUCUUCGGACCUUGCGCGAUUGAAUGAGCCGAUGUCGGAUUAGCUAGUUGGCGGGGUAAAGGCCCACCAAGGCGACGAUCCGUAGCUGGUCUGAGAGGCUGAUCAGCCACCCUGGAACUGAGACACGGUCCAGACUCCUACGGGAGGCAGCAGUGGGGAAUAUUGGACAAUGGGCGCAAGCCUGAUCCAGCCAUACCGCGUGGGUGAAGAAGGCCUUCGGGUUUUAAAGCCCUUUUGUUGGGAAAGAAAAGCAGCAGGUUAAUACCCCGCUGUUCUGACGGUACCCAAAGAAUAAGCACCGGCUAACUUCGUG